CAGACAUGCUUCAGCUAGCAGCUAGUCAUUUGCAGAAGCAGCGUCUGUGCGAGGAAGCCGGUACUCCUCCGGCUGGAGGGCCACCGCGAAAUCCGGCAGCGCCGGCACCGUCUCGUGUGUCCUGUCAGCAUUGCUGUAGAGGUCCUUGUUGAUGCGAACCUUGCAGUUGGAGUCCUUGUGGAUCUUGUCGUGGAGAUUGCCUUGAAAAGGGGGAUGCGGUGUGGAAGGCCUCGCAGACGGCCCUGCUCUCCCUCAGGGACUCCUCUGCGGACUGCAGCGCUGCCACAGCCGCCCGGGUUCAGAGAUAUGAGCAAAGCCUGCAUAUGUACUUUUGCUUCCAUGUGCUUCCACUUGACAAAGAGCCUGUGCUUUUCGCCCCAGCCGUCGAGCAGAGGUAGCUUUCAGGACCCCUUCAGACAGGUCCACGGGAAGACCUUUCCUACACGAAAUGGCAGUCAGUACUCAGUCCUUGCUGGACAAUAACUGAAGAAAAAUGGAAGCUUGGAGCAUUGCUCAUCAUGCCGGGCUGGCUAGGGCAGGUGGCAAGAUCACCACCUCUUUUCGGGCGACAUCCUGGGAAGAACAUGCUGCAUGGCGCACUCCAGGUGCCCGGCCGCCUUGAGGAACACCUCGACUGAUGCGCGCUUGUUCUCUGAAGAAGUAUGCGUCAUGCAGGCGGAUACAAAGAAACAUUCAGAACUGUAACAGACACUGAUUCCAGGUAUGAUGACAGACCUUCGGAUACUUUGGUGUGGUAUCCCUCGAGAGACGUCUUUGGCAGGAGCAGGGAGUUUGCCUGGGAUAGACGGAGCAUGGCCAUCAUGUGCAGCACCGAGAGCACCUCGUACCAGGCGCUGGGCAACGCUGUUUCCUGCCAACACCAGGACAGGUUAAUUAUCUUCAGGUUUCAUCCAUGCAACAAACAAAGAUUGGAUAUACCUCUGCAUCAUCUUCUUGGUUCAUCCAUGCAAACUGUAUCUUGUCCUCCAGCUCGCUGCCUGCCAAGAGUCCAGUAACAAUGAUGGGAACACAAAAAAAGUCUAAAGAAUCUUCAGAGAGAUGGAUCAAGCACAAGGUGUACAGGUCAAAAUGAGGAGCUACCAUCUUUUGCCAUCCCUAGAAUGACUGGCAGAUACUCUUCCAAGGCCAGCACAAGAUCAGCAGACGUGGACGCCCCUGCAAGAAACAAUGUUCAGAGUGUCAAAUGCGAGAUUUAUUCAGACUGUUAAGUGCAAGGUUCAGACUGUCAGUUCCCAAAUUCAGAAUGUUGCACACUAGAUUCAGAGUGUCAGUUCCUAAGUUCAGAAUGUUACAUACUAGAUUCAGAGUGUCAGUUCCCAAGUUCAGAAUGUUACAUACUACUGAUUCAGACUGUCAGUUACCAAAUUCAGACAAACACUAGCACUAUGAACAACUGUGUAACACAUGAACCAUGCAGAAACACGAACCAUGCUGUG